rnacentral:rRNA from 1 species
UACAGAGGUCCCAAGCGUUGUUCGGAUUCAUUGGGCGUAAAGGGUGCGUAGGUGGCGCCGUAAGUCGGGUGUGAAAUUUCGGAGCUUAACUCCGAAACUGCAUUCGAUACUGCCGUGCUUGAGGACUGGAGAGGAGACUGGAAUUCAUGGUGUAGCAGUGAAAUGCGUAGAGAUCAUGAGGAAGACCAGUGGCGAAAGGCGGGUCUCUGGACAGUUCCUGACACUGAGACACGAAGGCCAGGGGAGCAAACGGG